rnacentral:misc_RNA from 1 species
GACGGAGGAUCCGAGCGUUAUCCGGAAUCAUUGGGUUUAAAGGGUCCGUAGGCGGGUAAAUAAGUCAGUGGUGAAAGUCUGCAGCUUAACUGUAGAACUGCCAUUGAUACUGUUGAUCUUGAGUAAUUAUGAAGUAGUUAGAAUAUGUAGUGUAGCGGUGAAAUGCAUAGAUAUUACAUAGAAUACCGAUUGCGAAGGCAGAUCACUAAUAAUUCACUGACGCUGAGGGACGAAAGCGUAGGUAGCGAACAGG